AGUGAGAGCUUUUGGGGAACAAGGUGUUUGUCAGUGUUCAUUAUCAGUCUGUGGAGAUAAUCAGACUGGACUUCUCUAGAUUGCCUGAAAUCACUGUAGGGAGGAAAGCAAUGGCUGGAGAAUGGCGUGUGAGCAGAGGCGAGCAGGUGGAGCAGCGCCCUCCUCACCUGAGUGUCCGGGAGGGAGACAGCGCCAUUAUCAUCUGCACCUACACAGACAGUGCCACUGCUUACUUCUCCUGGUACAAGCAAGAGGCGGGGGCAGGUCUUCAGUUGCUUAUGAGUGUCCUUUCAAAUGUGGACAGAAAAGAAGAACAAGGACUCACUGUCUUACUGAACAAGAAAGACAAACGACUCUCUCUGAACCUCACAGCUGCCCAUCCUGGGGACUCAGCCGUGUACUUCUGCGCAGUCAGUG